AUUGAACGCUGGCGGAAUGCUUUACACAUGCAAGUCGAACGGCAGCACGGGAGCUUGCUCCUGGUGGCGAGUGGCGAACGGGUGAGUAAUAUAUCGGAACGUAUCCAAUAAUGGGGGAUAACUAGUCGAACGAUUAGCUAAUACCGCAUACGCUCUGAGGGUGAAAGCUAGGGACCGCAAGGCCGGGCGUUAAUGGUGCGGUCGAUAUCUGAUUAGCUAGUUGGUGAGGUAAAGGCUCACCAAGGCGAAGAUCAGUAGCCGGUCUGAGAGGGCGACCAGCCACACUGGAACUGAGACACGGUCCAGACUCCUACGGGAGGCAGCAGUGGGGAAUUUUGGACAAUGGGCGCAAGCCUGAUCCAGCCAUUCCGCGUGAGUGAAGAAGGCCUUCGGGUUGUAAAGCUCUUUCGCAAGGGAAGAAAACUUAUCCUCUAACAUAGGAUGAGGUUGACGGUACCUUGAUAAGAAGCACCGGCUAACUACGUGCCAGCCGCCGCAGUAA
rnacentral:rRNA from 1 species